CGUAGGGUGCGAGCGUUAAUCGGAAUUACUGGGCGUAAAGCGUGCGCAGGCGGUUGGCAAAGUCAGCUGUGAAAGCCCCGGGCUUAACCUGGGAAUGGCGGUUGAAACUAGUCGACUAGAAUCUGGCAGAGGGGGGUGGAAUUCCACGUGUAGCAGUGAAAUGCGUAGAGAUGUGGAGGAACACCGAUGGCGAAGGCAGCCCCCUGGGCUGAGAUUGACGCUCAGGCACGAAAGCGUGGGGAGCAAACAGGAUUAGAUACCCUGGUAGUCCACGCCCUAAACGAUGUCAACUAGGUGUUGGGAGCGCAAGUUCUCAGUACCGCAGCUAACGCGUGAAGUUGACCGCCUGGGGAGUACGGUCGCAAGAUUA
rnacentral:rRNA from 1 species